ACAGAAGAACCCGAUGGAUUGCCUAAAUUUACAUACUUGGGAGAUUUUUAUAAAUUUUCGAUUAAGGAAGAAAGAUUUUCAAGAUAGCCAGACUGAACAACUUGACUAGAUACAAGAAAGAUAAAGCUUCAAAACAAAAUUCAUAAAUGUAUGCUAAAAAAUUCUUUUUUUUUUUUUUGGGAAAUCGAAACGAAGUUACAUGCUUACAGGGUUUUUAUAAAGGUAUGAUCAAGGAAGAAGACGAAGAAGAAGGGAGCGAUCCAGGUUGAACACGAACUGCGUUUAUAUAUAGUGAAAUUGUUCUGAAAUUAAAUAAGCAAAAAGCUGCAAUCUGCUACCUGCUCACUCUCGAGGAAUCUGAGGGGCG
rnacentral:lncRNA from 1 species